UGUGAAACAGCCUUUGAAAGAAAAAUAUAGCAAAAAUUAUUUAAUUUUAUUUCUGAUAAUGUAGUCAGUCCGUAGAUGUCCCUUGACCAAAUAAAUGGUCCGCUAUCUACUUUUGUAGCCUGUUGAACAGGUAUCUGACUUAAGUUCUUUGUCCUUUUCUAUUAAACCUGUAUAUCCAUUUUUUACUACUUUGAGCACGAAUAAGAUGAAUGUUUGUCCCCAGUUUAUAGGUCAAGGUCACAGUGGACACUUUAAAUUUGUGUAUAUUCCUUAAAUGGAUGUAGUAAAAUUAUAUGUUCCUGCACGGCUUUAUUUUGUUAUAUUUUGUUUUAUUUUUGAUAUUGUAGUCGGUCAGUAGAUGUCCCUUGACCAAAUAAAUGGUCCGCUAUCUACUGUUGUAGCCUGUUUGACAGGUAUCUGACUAAGUUUUGUUAACGCCCGUUUGAAAAAACGGACAUAUUAUGUGAUCACCCAUGGGUGGGCGGCUUCCAGAUCUCUGAGUAUAACUCUUAAAGUAUAAGAGCUUUUCACAUGAAAAUUCAUAUAUGGAUUGAUUUCAUUGAGAAGAAGUGCAGUGCACGAGAACCAUAACUCUAGCUUGCUUAAUUUCAGAAUUAUACCACAUUUUAAAUUUUCUUUUCUGAGUCAUAACUUCAUAACUAUAAGGCCAAUUAACAUCAAACUUGGAAUAAACGUAGGUUGUGGUGUAUAGAAGUGCAGCCCACAAGAAUCAUAACUUUAGAUUGCAUAAUUUUAGAAAUAUCCCCAUUAAUAAUUUUGUUGGUAUGCCUUUUUUCUUGGUUGCCUGUUUUUUAUGUCCCCAGUCUAUGCUGGGGGACAUAUUGUUUUUGCCCUGUCUGUUGGUUUGUUUGCACAAACUUUAACAUUGGCCAUAACUUUUGCAAUAUUGAAGAUAGCAACUUGAUAUUUGGCAUGUAUGUGUAUCUCAUAGAGAAUAUUUCAUUGAGUGUGACCUUCUUGGUGACCUUCAAAAAAAAGACAAGCAUUGGGGCAUUACGACUCUUGUUUCAUCAAAAAAAAAAAUUUGUUCAAGGUAACUACAAUUAGUCCUCUACAACUUUCACAUUUUAUUUAGUUCAACAGUUCUAUCACAUUUUACAAGUUUUACAUAUUUUUGAGAAAAAAAGUAAAGCUGUGCUACUGUGGACAUUCAUUGUUUUACUCUUUUAUUAUUAAUUAAUGAUCUUUAAGAUUGGUAUCUUCAUUCCAUUUUGGACAUGGUCUGGUCAGUAUUAGUAUUAUACAUAUGAAUGUUAGAAGGUUCAUAUAUCUAUGUUUGCAAUUACAAGAUAAAAAUGCAGAUAAUAUUGCAGCCAAAUUGUGUUACAAUGUAUUACUAUCUGAUGUGUUGUGUGUCAUUGAAUAGCAUAAUCCAUGAGACAUCUUGCACCCAAGCUGAUCCAGGCAAAUGCUGGUCAUGCCCAAAGAAUUUUAUCUGCCAUUGAUUCUUAGAAGGUUUGUGCCCAGCACAUCAUCAGGCACAUUGAAUUUUUACCGUAAUGUAACAAUAAUACAUUGUUCUGGUUCUUACAUAGUUUCAAAUCGUGUAUUACUGUAUACAAAGUUCCCAUUUUAUGUCAUGGGCACAUGCAAGAUGCACAGAGAUGGCAAUAUUGAUAGUCCAGCAAUAUCAGUAGAUUUCUAUAUGAAAUGUAUAUAAACAGAAAUUUCAUUUUCUUUUAAUUUCAUCAUUUCUGGUCAUAUACCUAUCGUUCAUAUUUCAUUGGAAAGCUCUUGAAAUUCUUAAGAUGUCAUAAUUAAAAACUAAAAAUGAGGUUAAACAAACAGACCAUUUAUUGUUCAAUGUUCUUUUCAGUCAAAUUAUGGGAAAAAAAUCAUAUAGUGUAACUUUUAUGCUUAUAAUUUUCUGUAGACAAUAUUAUAUUGUAAAAUAUAUUUAUAUCUAAAAUGCAAAAUGAAUAACAGUUAAAAUGAUACCAUUUUGAGCUCACCUGAGCACGAAGCUUUUAGGAUCACCUUACGUCCGUUGUCCGUGGUGUGUCAACCUGCUUCAAAUGACAUCGCCUAAACUAUGCCAAUUUUGAUAAAACUUUACAAGAAUGAUCAUUGGGUGACCCUAUACUAAAAUUGCUUUAUUUGUUCUGCUUUUGUUGCACAAGAUGACUAUCAUUACUAAAAAUAAAAAAAAUCUUUAAGUGGCAUAUUCUUUUAAACCACUACGCCAAAUUUGCCAAAUAAGUUUACAGAAGUGAUCCUUGGGUUAUCCUUGACAAAAUUGAUUAAAUCAUUUCUUUAUGAUGCAAGAGAUGGCAGUUGUCGCUAGAACAUUAUUGGAUAUUUUGACAUGAACUAGUACACUAAUUGUUCAGGUGAGUGUCUAAGGGCCAUCGGGCCAUCUUGUUAAUAUACCCUCUCAGAGCUGUUAACAAUAUUUUUUAUAUUUAGUUAAAAAAUAACAGAAGCUAUUAACAUUUUCCCCCACUGUAAUUGUAAACUAUCAAAAUGGCUGCCAGAUUAUUGUAAAUAAGAACAAUAUAACUCUUAUCAGAUAGAAAAAUUGGUGCUUUGAAAACUAUAUUGAUAUUUUAUCUGUUUCUAUGUAUAGACGGCUUUGUAAAUUUCAUACAAUGAGUAGUUGGUUUCCUAUUGAACUAUUACGCCAUUUUGGCAUAGAACGUAACCAAAGAAUAUGUACUUUGUGAAGUUGUUUAGGUGAUGAGUUUCAGUACUGUUUCAGUCACUUUAAAUCUACACGUAAAAAAAUAUUUAUAAAUAUUUUAGAAUUCAUCCUCUUAUAAAAUGGAAAAGUUAAUGAAUACGUAAUAUACAUCUGUACUUUUUCAAGUUAGUAUUAUUUUGUAAAAUUGUUAUGAAUAAUUUUAUUCAUUAUAAAUCAUGUCAUGGAUUUUUAAUUACAUGUAAAUCUUAGUAUUGUGCUAUAGUCAUAAUUCUUUUAACUACAUUGUGAAAGUGUGACCUAGUGCUACUUUGACAUAAUAUAAUUGUUGUAAUAUCCUAAAAUCUGUUGUAAGUUUUGUUGCUUGUUAAUACAGUUCUACCGGUACUUGUUCUUGAGUUCAUAUUACUUUAGAAAUUAAUUAUGUUAGAUGUAUGUGUUUACAUCACACACAAUUGUGAUUCUACUGUAUAAUUAUAUAAGUAAAUAUGUCCAAUCUAGAAUCUGUUUUAUACUGAGCUUUCAUAUUUGGUAUGUAGCAUUAUCUAGAGGUCCGCUACCAAAGUUGUUCAAAUUGUUCCUCUGGGGUCAAAAUUGACUCCGCCCUGGGGGUCACAAUUUUACAUUGAAUUAUAUAAGGAAAACUUUAAAUGACUUGAACUGCUAAUGGGAUUUUGACCAAACUCAACAGAAAUGGUCCCUGGGUAGUCCUCUACCAAAAUUGUUCAAAUGGUUCUGAUUGGUUGCAUAAGUACACAUUGUCAAAAAAAAAAGGUUUUUAAAAUGCAACUUUCAAAAAUCUUCUUGUCUGAAACUACAAGACCCAGAGCUUUCAUAUUUGGUAUAUAGCAUCCUCUAGAAGUCCUCUUCCAAAUUUGGUUUAAGUUAUGCCCCUAGGGUUAAAAUUGACCCCGCACCGGGGGUCACAAUUUUACAUUGAAUUAUAUAAGGAAAACUUUAAAUGACUUCUUAUCUUGAACCGUUAAUGGGAAUUUGAACAAACUCAACAUUAACGGUCCCCUUACCACAAUUGUUCAAAUGGUUCUGAUUGGUUGCAUAAGUAGGUCAAGGGGUAAAAAAAUAGGUUUUCUAAAUGCAAUUUUCAAAAAUCUUCUUGUCUGAAACUACAAGUCCUAGAGCUUUCAUAUUAAUUUCAUGUAUAACAUCAUCUAGAGGUCCUCUACCAGUAUUUGGUGGACAACAUUAGUGGUCCUCUGUAAAUGGCUCCAUUGUGACCUUUGACCUUUUCCUAAGGUGAGCGACCCAGGGCCCUUUGGGCCCUCUUGUUAUUUUUCAUUAAAGGGACUCUCUCAGACACGUGUAAUUUGGGAGUAAAUAAACGUUAAAAAUUUGAUAUUCAACUUCCUCGUCACUAUACCAAAGACCGCUUUCAUUUUCCUUACUUAUAAGUUACUAAAACCCCAUGUUUUUGUUGCUUGGUGUGAAGUGAGCCUUCGCGCCAGUCUGUUCAACGUUGGGAAAGCCGGUUUAUAAAUAAACUGAGGAAUUCUUUUUCGCGCGCCAAGCUAUCACGUGACGUCUAAAAAUAAACACUACACAGCAACAUAGUAGCAAAGGGAAAUAAUCGUGCGCUUAGUUUGGGUGGAAUUCUGAACAUUUGAUGUAGAAAAUGCGAGUAUUUUUUAUUUUCCUUACCAAAUUGACCAAGAUUCAAUAAAUAUUAAUGUCUUCUCUAUUUGUUUUUGUCAUCGCUCGACCCAUUUUCGUCUAACGCAAAUAAUGUAUGCGACCAUGCACAUGUUCAGUAAACGUUUCCGAAGACCCACGUGACGAUGGUAUCUAAAAACACCACCUCUUAUUCUAAGUUAAGAUCGUUGUUUACAAAAUAAACCCGUUUAAACGGUCUUACAUAUCUGCGAUUUAAAUGUUAAUUUUCUUCUCUGUACAAAUAUGAGCAAGUUUGGAAAGCUGUCAAUAAUCUAGUUCUGUGUUACUUUAGAAAUGUAUGUUGUCGUGUUUAUGGUAGAAGACAAUUUAUUUACAAAAAGUUAAAAUCUCGAUCUCUGAGAGAGUCUCUUUAACGAAAAACCGGAGAACAGUAGUAAAAAUUAUUUAAAAUUUUGAGAAAAAGGCAUUCAUCGUUACCCCAAACCUUUAUUAUUAUCAGCCAUGUUUUUUUCAUAUCAGGGAUGGUCUAAAACCCGUGGUGUCUGGAACUGUAUAUGUUCUGAUUUUUUUACAAAUAAUGUUUUUUUGGGGGGGGCAGGUGGUUUUGGACAGGGGCGGGCGUGGAUGAGAAUCUAAAAUAUUUUUUUCUAUUGCCUAACUGUAAAAUAACAUAUCUUGAAAAAUAAAAUCCUGCAAAUACUUUCUACCUGUUGUUCUGUUACAUGUGUGUUGAACAUUUCUGUGACUUGUUAAAAUCCUAUGGACAAAUUUCUAGUCUAAAUUAGCUUCUCAAUUUAAAUAACUUGUUCCUUCAAAAUAGUGCAUGGUUUGAUAUUGUACUAUUUAAAAUUUGAAUUAAUAUUAUCUCUAGUCCUGGCAAGUCUAUGUUCUUUAAGUAAAUUGAAAUUAAAAGGUUUAUUCAUUUAAACAUUUUGCAAUGAUUUCUGUUAGUUCACAUCUUGUUAAAAUGUUUUAUACAUGCAUAGUUUAUGCCUUGGUUAAAUAAAAUCUGAAAUCUGUUGUGGGAAGUAUCAUACUAUGUAUUCGUGUUUCUGUUUGUAAAACGUUUAAUAAAACUAUUUAACAUAUA